UACAGAGGGGGCAAGCGUUGUUCGGAAUUACUGGGCGUAAAGGGCGCGUAGGCGGCCUGUUAAGUCGGACGUGAAAUCCCUCGGCUCAACCGGGGAACUGCGUCCGAUACUGGCGGGCUUGAAUUCGGGAGAGGGAUGUGGAAUUCCAGGUGUAGCGGUGAAAUGCGUAGAUAUCUGGAGGAAUACCGGUGGCGAAGGCGGCAUCCUGGACCGGCAUUGACGCUGAGGAGCGAAAGCCGGGGGAGCAAACGGG
rnacentral:rRNA from 1 species